rnacentral:lncRNA from 1 species
UGCUCCGUUCCCAUCAUCAGGAAAUUGAUUAUAAACUGAUAGGUUGUUUAAAUCACGGAGAUAUACCUUUGAAAAUGGAGAAAAUGGAACGACAACAGCCAGCGACAUAUUUUCAUGAAUAUUUAUUUUGACACUAUUUGGAAGUACUCUUCGGGCAUUAUUUGCAUUUAGUUGAUGGAGCCAUCAAAUUUCGAUAAAUUUAAGUUUAACUGGUAGUUGUAGGAUAAGAGCCCCUUCCUGGAUGUUUGUUUUGAUAAAUUGUUGUUUAUGUAUUUUAUUUAAAUUAAUUUGGUAAUUUAUUUCAUUGUUUACUAAGCAAAUGUGUCGGAGUCAGACUGCAAUAACAACUUUUUUCAUUAUGAAGGUUUAGGAAGUGAUACCUUUAGUAUUGAUGUCAGAAACGUUACUUGCAAUUUUGAUGCCAUUAACGAUACUUUCAAUUUUAAUGCCAAUAACACUACUUACAAUUUUGAUGCCACUCACGAUACAGGAAUAGAAGAAUCAACAAGGCUAGUUGUACUAAAGUUUUCGUAUUGCUUAAUGCAUUAACGUCUAACAAACCUAGGAGAAACAUCGACCUUGCGUCCAUACUGUUAACAGCGUCUCUUGGGUUACAGAAACUACUGGGUGUGGCAUGUCCAAUAUGGAGUAAAACUCAGAUCAAUGAACGGAAAGCUUGCAUCGUUUGCUGUACAUGCUUUUUUUUUUUUACACUGGCCUUAAACGUGCCAAGAUUAUUUGUAAUUAAUCUGAGUCGUGGGAAGGAAGGAUAUGUAUGUUUAGUCUCAGCACCACAAUAUAUCAUUCAGCAGUAUAUUCUAGCAUACUAUCCGAUUGUGUUCUCCGUUAUUUUGGUUGUUGCAGUAGUAACAAUGCUUAUAUCAACAUGCUAUAUCAUAUGUAUAUUGUGCCGACGGAAACGUGUCCGUGGACAUGCUGCAGCUUCCAGGGCUGAAAAAAAUCUUGCAUAUUGAUUGUGUGCGUCAUGACGGUCUUUUUUUCUCGCAGAAGUUCCAAGGCUUUAUGUCUGCUCGACGCUAUUUGGUACUUAUAGAUCUAAUUUGGACAUACAGAAUGUUGCCUUACAGGAACUUUCGACCGAGGUUGAUGAAAAAUAUUCAGCAUGUUUUGAUGAUAUAUCGAGUUAUAUCUCAGGAGAGUCCUGCGUCUAUGAUUUUUUUUGAACUGCCAUGACAUGAUCAAAACAUAAUUUUUAAUGAACUGGAAGUUUUCAUUUCUGAUUUUGAAAAGGUCGCUGAAGAAUAUCCGC